CAGGAUCAACUGACUGUUUUGCUGGACUUGCUCGUUAAAAGCUUUCUAAGCCUCACAAAAGACAUCUGUCUGACAAUGGAUAGACAUAUCCUUCAAAUGACACAGGUUGUAGAAAAACCUUCCAUCAAGACCUUGGCAAAAUCCAGGA